CUUGAUCGACCCCAGCCACAGUGGCUGGUCGGCGGACCGGUCCUGGCCGUACGUGGCCAGCAGCGCCUGGGCCUC
rnacentral:antisense_RNA from 1 species